UUAUAAAGCAGUCUUGAUGAUAAUAUGAAGCAUAUCUACACAUCCUCUAUAUUGUGUAUAUUCUCACCUAUUCAAUCCAGUUUUUUGUACAUCUUCUUUACAUAUAUCUCACUUCACAUGCUGAUCCUCCAUUUUCACUCACAUCCAUACUUCUUUUGUCUUCUUUAUAUUUCUCCAUUCUUUCAAUAGAUCAUCCUAGAAAUCACCAUAUAGUGAUCUGAGUCUCUCUCUGCACCUCUCAUAUUUUUCAAGAAUUCUUCUCUUUUCUCUUGUCUAUUCACAUUCCAUACAUACAAUCUCUAUUCAUACUUCUGUUUCCAUUCUCAUUAUCCUUUAUCUAGUCUAGUUUUAAAUCCAUAUUUGAUGGUCCAGUUUUCAUUUCUUUGAGUUUUGAAAAUCAUAGAUAAAAAUUUCAUCAUGUUGGUGAUCAGUUAAAGGAUAGUAUAGUCUGAUGGAGGGGCUUCCCUUGAUGAUUCCAGAUAAGAUUGGGCACCAUUUUAUCAGGCUCCUAAUAUCUGACAAAGUUAAACUAUCAACUGUCCAGAAAGAUCAUUGGAACAUGCAACCUCCCUGCCACAUAAAAGUAUGGCUCAAAGAGAGAGAAUUACCUGUAUAUGUAUAUAUGUAUAUAUAUAUAUAUAUAUUUAAUUAUAUUAUGGUCC
rnacentral:lncRNA from 1 species